GGCUGCCUACGGGGGGCAGCAGUAGGGAAUCUUCGGCAAUGGACGAAAGUCUGACCGAGCAACGCCGCGUGAGUGAAGAAGGCUUUCGGAUCGUAAAACUCUGUUGGUAGAGAAGAACGUUGGUGAGAGUGGAAAGCUCAUCAAGUGACGGUAACUACCCAGAAAGGGACGGCUAACUACGUGCCAGCAGCCGCGGUAAUACGUAGGUCCCGAGCGUUGUCCGGAUUUAUUGGGUUUAAAGGGUGCGUAGGCGGACUGUUAAGUCAGCGGUAAAAGCCCGGGGCUCAACCCCGGCGAGCCGUUGA
rnacentral:rRNA from 1 species